CUCCCCACUCUCCCCUUUCUCUUCCAGAGAAUCUAGGGCCCUUUUUGCACCUACAGAAACAAGUUUCCUAAGGAAGGGAAAAGGAAAUCCACCGGCUUGUUAAUUUUCCUGCAGCCAACUCUCCAAAUUUGUUUCAAAAAACAUCACUUGUUCGUCGUGUUACUCUCAGAUCUUAUCUCUGGCCUGCCAUUUAUAAAUGGAACUUCCCCAAUGAUUCAGUUAUCUUCUCCUGGCCCCAUCCUUUACACAUGGAGAUCAUUACAACUCAAGAAAUAUCUCCUCAAGACCAUUGAUUGCAGAAAAGACCUGACUUGCUGAUGCCCUAAGUUAAACCAGAUAUGAAUUUCAAGAAGUGAGGGGGAAACUCACUUAAACACUCGGGAUAUAUAAAGGACACUGUUUCCCUAUUGCCAUAGCCAUGCC
rnacentral:lncRNA from 13 species